rnacentral:tRNA from 1 species
GACCCCGUAGCUCAGCUGGACGAGAGCAAGUGCCUUCUAAGCACUAGGUCGCAGGUUCGAAUCCUGCCGGGGUCGCCA